rnacentral:tRNA from 1 species
GGAGAGGUCGCAUAGUGGUCUAGUGCCACCGCUUGGAAAGCGGCUGUAGGUUUUCCUAACGAGGGUUCGAAUCCCUCCCUCUCCG